rnacentral:rRNA from 1 species
AGAGUUUGAUCAUGGCUCAGAACGAACGCUGGCGGCGUGGAUAAGACAUGCAAGUCGAGCGCUGAUUGCGGGGUAGCAAUAUUCCGGAGUUGGAGCGGCGCAAGGGUGCGUAACACGUGGGUAAUCUGCCAUGAAGUUUGGAAUAACUUGCUGAAAGGCGAGCUAAUACCGGAUGUGAAAAUUGGGAGGCCUCUCCUGGUUUUUAAAGUUGGGGACCGUAAGGCCUGACGCUUCAUGAUGAGCCCGCGGCCUAUCAGCUAGUUGGUGAGGUAAUGGCUCACCAAGGCUAAGACGGGUAGCUGGUCUGAGAGGACGACCAGCCACACUGGAACUGAGACACGGUCCAGACACCUACGGGUGGCAGCAGUCGAGAAUUUUUCACAAUGGGCGCAAGCCUGAUGGAGCGACGCCGCGUGGGGGAUGAAUGGCUUCGGCCCGUAAACCCCUGUCAUUUGCGAUCAAACCUCGUUAUUUAAAAGAUGACGAGCUGAUAGUAGCGAAAGAGGAAGGGACGGCUAACUCUGUGCCAGCAGCCGCGGUA